rnacentral:rRNA from 1 species
AGAGUUUGAUCAUGGCUCAGAACGAACGCUGGCGGCAGGCCUAACACAUGCAAGUCGAACGAAGUCUUCGGACUGAGUGGCGGACGGGUGAGUAACACGUGGGAACCUAUCCUUUGGUGCGGAAUAACAGAGGGAAACUUCUGCUAAUACCGCAUACGCCCUAAGGGGGAAAGAUUUAUCGCCAAAGGAGGGGCCCGCGUAGGAUUAGCUAGUUGGUGGGGUAAUGGCCUACCAAGGCAGCGAUCCUUAGCUGGUCUGAGAGGAUGAUCAGCCACACUGGGACUGAGACACGGCCCAGACUCCUACGGGAGGCAGCAGUGGGGAAUAUUGGACAAUGGGGGCAACCCUGAUCCAGCCAUGCCGCGUGAAUGAAGAAGGCCCUAGGGUUGUAAAGUUCUUUCACUCGUGAGGAUGAUGACAGUAGCGAGAGAAGAAGCCCCGGCUAACUCCGUGCCAGCAGCCGCGGUAAUACGGAGGGGGCAAGCGUUGUUCGGAUUUACUGGGCGUAAAGGGCGCGUAGGCGGCAUGCCAAGUUGGGGGUGAAAGGCCUGGGCUUAACCUAGGAAC